UGGUUAAGGAACUCGGCAAAAUGCCCCCGUAACUUCGGGAGAAGGGGGGCCUGAUCCCUGAAGCCCCAUUUUUGCGGGCUAGGGGGGAGGGUCGCAGAGGCCAGGGGGAAGCGACUGUUUACUAAAAACACAGGUCCGUGCGAAGCCGUAAGGCGAUGUAUACGGACUGACGCCUGCCCGGUGCUGGAAGGUUAAGAGGAACCAUCAACCCUCCUGUUGUGGGGGUGAAGUGGUGAAUUUAAGCCCCAGUAAACGGCGGUGGUAACUAUAACCAUCCUAAGGUAGCGAAAUUCCUUGUCGGGUAAGUUCCGACCUGCACGAAUGGCGUAACGACUUCCCCGCUGUCUCAACCAUGAGCUCGGCGAAAUUGCAGUACGAGUAAAGAUGCUCGUUUCGCGCAGAAGGACGGAAAGACCCCGGGACCUUUACUACAGCUUGGUAUUGGCGCCCGCUAUAGCUUGUGCAGGAUAGGUGGGAGACUGUGAAGCCGCCACGCCAGUGGUGGUGGAGUCGUCCUUGAAAUACCACUCUGGUUAUGGCGUGCGCCUGAACCUGGGCCCGUGAUCCGGGUUAGGGACAGUGCCUGGUGGGUAGUUUAACUGGGGCGGUUGCCUCCUAAAGUGUAACGGAGGCGCUCAAAGGUUCCCUCAGCCUGGUCGGCAACCAGGUGUUGAGUGCAAGUGCACAAGGGAGCUUGACUGUGAGACCGACGGGUCGAGCAGGUACGAAAGUAGGAACUAGUGAUCCGGCGAUCCCGUGUGGGUGGGUCGUCGCUCAACGGAUAAAAGGUACCCCGGGGAUAACAGGCUGAUCCUGCCCAAGAGUCCAUAUCGACGGCAUGGUUUGGCACCUCGAUGUCGGCUCGUCGCAUCCUGGGGCUGGAGCAGGUCCCAAGGGUUGGGCUGUUCGCCCAUUAAAGCGGUACGCGAGCUGGGUUUAGAACGUCGUGAGACAGUUCGGUCCCUAUCCUCUGCGCGCGCAGGAGACUUGAGAAGGCCUGUCCCUAGUACGAGAGGACCGGGACGGACGAACCUCUGGUGUGCCAGUUGUCCCGCCCGGGGCACGGCUGGUUGGCUACGUUCGGGAAGGGUAACCGCUGAAAGCAUCUAAGCGGGAAACCAUCUUCAAGAUAAGGUCUCCGCAGGACACCUCGGUGUCCUGGUAGGCCCCCAGCAGACUACUGGGUUGAUAGGCCAGAAGUGGAAGACCGGUAACGGUCUGUGAGCUGACUGGUACUAAUAGGCCAACACAAACAACAA
rnacentral:rRNA from 1 species